rnacentral:lncRNA from 1 species
AAGACAUUCACUACACCAGAGGAGACAAAGGAAGCACGUUGCUGUUAUUGCUGUUCAUGGCCUUCUUCCAACAGUAAGGGAAGCUAGUUUGAAGAUAAACUGUACAAAGGAAAGUAAAACAAGAGAAGUGCAGCGAAAUGGUGCCGGAGCCGUGAUGCAGCUACAACCUAGAGUUCUCACAAUCUCUUAAUUUCCUGCUGUCGGCGAUAAAUGUGAUCAUUUUGGCCGAUUUGGUUCAGUUUUUCUGUUCCGUGAAGCUGAAAGCAUCCUGACACAGGUAGCUGGACAGUACUGGACCCAUCACAAUUUCAAUACUGGGAAGAGAAAAGCCAGUCCUCUGGGGAAAGAUGAAGCACUGGACCUACAAACUAACUACUUUCAACCCCUGGAUGAAUCUAGGAGAUUAGUCCCGAUAUCAAGGCAAUGUCAAGAGUGAAGGGGAGGAUCAAGAUUUUUUUUGAGUGAUUGUUUCCUGGAAGGAGUAUUAAAGAGAGGCACAGAAGAAUGCUUCUGCAUAGGACAUGAAAACAUACUUGGUAAUCAGCGAUCAUGUGGUAGCAGCCACACUGUUUAAGAUCAUGGAUCAGAAAUGUCUUUAAGAUGUCAAACAAAUGAAAAACAAAAACAAACAUUUCAUGGUCAUGGACAGGAAAAUCAAUAUUGUUAAAAUGGCCAUACACCCCAAAGCAAUUUAUACAUUCAGUGCUAUUCCUACCAAUGGCAUUUCUCACGGAAUUAGGAAACACAAUUUUAAAAUUCAUAUGGUACCAAACAAGAGCCUGAAUAACCAAAGCAAUCCUAAGCAAAAAGAAGAAAGCUGAAAGUAUCACACUACCCAACUUCAAACUAUACUACAAGACUACAGUAACCAAAACAGCAUGGUACUGUUACAGAACUAGACACAUAGACCAAUGGAACAGAACAGGGAAUUAACUCCCUAUUCAAUAAAUGGUG